CACGUAGUUAGCCGUGACUUCCUCGCCGGGUACCAUCACUCAGAAAGCUUUCCACUCUUUCUGCCUUUUGUCCCCGGCAACAGAGCUUUACGAUCCGAAGACCUUCCUCGCUCACGCGGCAUUGCUCGUUCAGGGUUCCCCCCCAUUGACGAAAAUUCCCUACUGCUGCCUCCCGCAGGAGUCUGGGCCGUGUCUCAGUCCCAGUGUGGCCGUCCGCCCUCUCAGGCCGGCUAUGCAUCGUCGCCUUGGUGAGCCGUUACCUCUCCAACCAGCUAAUGCACCGCAGGUCCAUCUGCAUGCGGGACUCUUGUCCCCUUUUACCAAAAAGAGAUGCCUCCUCUUUGCUCAUCCGGUAUCAGUCCUUCCGUUUCCAGUAACGUUCUACCCGCUCAUGCAGGCAGGUUCCCUAGUGUUACCUCACCCGUUCGCCACUCAUAUCCGAAGAUACUCCGUUCGACUUUGACAUGUAUUAGGC
rnacentral:rRNA from 1 species